rnacentral:rRNA from 1 species
ACUCCUACGGGAGGCAGCAGUGGGGAAUAUUGCACAAUGGGCGCAAGCCUGAUGCAGCCAUGCCGCGUGUAUGAAGAAGGCCUUCGGUUGUAAAGUACUUUCAGCAGUGAGGAAGGUGGGUAGUGUUAAUAGCAUACUCAUUUGACGUUAGCUGCAGAAGAAGCACCGGCUAACUCCGUGCCAGCAGCCGCGGUAAUACGGAGGGUGCGAGCGUUAAUCGGAAUUACUGGGCGUAAAGCGCAUGCAGGUGGUUUGUUAAGUCAGAUGUGAAAGCCCGGGGCUCAACCUCGGAAUUGCAUUUGAAACUGGCAAACUAGAGUACUGUAGAGGGGGUAGAAUUUCAGGUGUAGCGGUGAAAUGCGUAGAGAUCUGAAGGAAUACCGGUGGCGAAGGCGGCCCCCUGGACAGAUACUGACACUCAGAUGCGAAAGCGUGGGGAGCAAACAGGAUUAGAUACCCUGGUAGGACAGUG